rnacentral:tRNA from 1 species
GCGGGCGUAGCUCAGUGGUAGAGCGUCACGUUGCCAACGUGAUUGUCGAGGGUCCGACUCCCUUCGCCCGCUCCA